AGCUCCAAUAGCGUAUAUUUAAGUUGUUGCAGUUAAAAAGCUCGUAGUUGGAUUUCGGGUUGGCUUCAGCGGUCUCGCUUUGCGUUUGUACUGCUGCAGCCUACCUUCUUGCUGGGGACGGGCCUACGGGCUUAAUUGCUUGGGGUCCGGAAUCAGCGAUGUUACUUUGAGUAAAUUAGAGUGUUCAAAGCAAGCCUACGCUCUGAAUAUAAUAGCAUGGGAUAACACGACAGGACUCUGGCCUAUCGUGUUGGUCUAUAGGACCAGAGUAAUGAUUAAGAGGGACAGUCGGGGGCAUUCGUAUUCCGUUGUCAGAGGUGAAAUUCUUGGAUUUACGGAAGACGAACAUCUGCGAAAGCAUUUGCCAAGGAUGUUUUCAUUGAUCAAGAACGAAAGUAGG
rnacentral:rRNA from 1 species